rnacentral:rRNA from 1 species
GGUUUGAUCCUGGCUCAGAUUGAACGCUGGCGGCAUGCUUUACACAUGCAAGUCGAACGGGGUAAGAGCUUGCUCUUAUCUAGUGGCGAACGGGUGAGUAAUGCAUCGGAACGUACCGUGUAGUGGGGGAUAACGCAUCGAAAGGUGUGCUAAUACCGCAUACGAUCUACGGAAGAAAGCAGGGGAUCGCAAGACCUUGCGCUAUACGAGCGGCCGAUGCCGGAUUAGCUAGUUGGUAGGGUAAAGGCCUACCAAGGCAACGAUCCGUAGCGGGUCUGAGAGGAUGAUCCGCCACACUGGGACUGAGACACGGCCCAGACUCCUACGGGAGGCAGCAGUGGGGAAUUUUGGACAAUGGGCGCAAGCCUGAUCCAGCCAUGCCGCGUGAGUGAAGAAGGCCUUCGGGUUGUAAAGCUCUUUUGUCAGGGAGCAAAGCCUUACUUCUAAUAAAGGUAAGGGAUGAGAGUACCUGAAGAAUAAGCACCGGCUAACUACGUGCCAGCAGCCGCGGUAAUACGUAGGGUGCGAGCGUUAAUCGGAAUUACUGGGCGUAAAGCGUGCGCAGGUGGUUUUGUAAGCCAGAUGUGAAAUCCCCGGGCUCAACCUGGGAAUGGCAUUUGGGGACUGCAAGGCUAGAGUGUGGCAGAGGGGGGGUGGGGAUUCCGCGUGU